AGGGGGUAAACCUUGGUUCAGGGAGAUAACUCUGUAAAUCAGUUAUGCGUUUGUAAAAGUCAAGAUCAUCAAUGUAUUUUAAGCAUUUACCUGAAACAGAUUGAAAAUAAUCUAUGUAACCUAGAAGCUUAGAAUAUAUUUUUGAAAAUGGUUGACACAAACGUACUGAUGAUUUUAAGAGUUAUUUCCCUUAACCUAGGUCUACCUCCUUAAUGU
rnacentral:lncRNA from 1 species